rnacentral:rRNA from 1 species
AUACGAGGGGUCCAAGCGUUAAUCGGAAUCACUGGGCUUAAAGGGUACGUAGGCGGCCCUGUAAGCAUCUCGUGAAAUCCCACGGCUCAACCGUGGAAUUGCGGGGUGAACUACAGGGCUUGAGGCAGGUAGAGGUCGUCGGAACGAUCGGUGGAGCGGUGAAAUGCGUUGAUAUCGAUCGGAACGCCGAAGGAGAAGUCAGGCGACUGGGCCUGUCCUGACGCUGAGGUACGAAAGCGUGGGUAGCGAACGGGAUUAGAAACCCCAGUAGUCC